UUUCACAUAGACGACAAGCUUUAUCAAUACACCAAUCUAUAUUUCUCCACAAUUAUUAUUUCUUGAUCUUUCGAUAUGUUGUUCUAUCAUUUUUAUCUGAUCAUUAUAAUACAGGUACAGAUGCACGUAUAGGUUCAGGUGUAAGAUACAGGUAUAAGUCCAGGUGUAGAUAGAGGUAUGGGUACACAGAUGUAGGUACAGAUAUAGGUGCAUGUAUACGUACAAAUAUAGGUACAGGUGCAGCUAUAGGUACAGGUACAGCUCUAUAGGUAUUCGAAACCUGAGACGCACAGAACUAAAGUACACGCGAACGAAACAGAAAAAGGCCGAGGUGUGGGAUCGAGUUCCGAGUAAGAUACGGGGAAAAGUACGAGACCUGCUUCGUACGAGUUAUACCGUCUGUUCGGCACUGGACAAUCUUGGCAGUACUGGUACUAGAAUCGAGCUGGGAGCCUAGAUUCGUAGAAGAAAACGGUACCCUGGAAAAUCAAAUAGGAGCGUUCGGUACAGAGAGACUACCGUUCCCCGUUCCCACUUCCCUUUCUAAUACCAGCAGUUCUCAACAUUGCGGGUCGGCCGUUGCGCGUCGCGCCGUACGUGGAUACAUACAACAUCGGGCAACCUACCACCGCUACGAUUUAACGAACCAGUUACAACUACUGUUCUCAGUUAGAAUUCAUUCUUUCCUAGUUCUUACCUACAUACGGAUAUCUACGAGGAAAGUUUCGAUCAUAAAUACGAUGCGUCAUUUUUUCUUCCUCUUCGCAACUGUGCCGUUGUAUCAGUGAACCGUGUUUCCUGUUUGCACGGUCAGGAAAUAUUUUAGGAAACUUUUAUCUGGAAUGUUUUGCAAAAUCAGAUCGUAAUAUCAACAUCGCGGAAACAUGUUCGUUUCCGCUAUUAUUAGUUCUUUGAACCCAGAUCUAAAGUAGGUGCAAAUCGACGGUUUUACAACGAAUUGGUACGAUCAAAUUUCUACUCCCCACCCUUCGUCUCAUACCGAGAACGUUAGACAAAAUAAAGCAAGAUAAGUCUGUACGCAUCAUCGCGGUGCCAGACUGGCCAAACCAAGAAUGGUACCUUUUACUUCCAAAGAUGGCAGUAGGGGACCCGAUAAUCUUUGAACCGAACGUUAACCUUCUACUAUCGCUAUGCAGGAGGAGAAUGCACCCACAAUCGAGCUGGUUACAUUUGAUGGCGACCAGAGUAUCAGGGAGGCAUUCCUAAGAAAGGAGGUGCCUAUAGAAGCAAUCGACUUGUUACUAGCGUCCUUGACGGAAAAUACAAGAAAGCGAUACAGGUCGACUCUACGGAGCUAGUGAUAAUUCCGGAAGAUGAAUAGACUUUAUUUUCACUUCCCUUCGACAGCCAUAUUACUCACGUGGCUGACGGAAAACUCCACACGAGGAGCAUCUCAUGGUGUCUUGUGCAUAGUAAUCGGCUGUAUCGCUUAUGUCGCAGACGGAAAUAGACAAGAGAGGCCUAAUAUCAAGAUUUAUGAAGGACAUAUUGAAAUUAGGGCCAUCAAAGCCGAAAUACACAACCAGACGACAUGUGGCCAAGGUUCUAGAGCUAUUUCAGUCGACAAACUUAUGGAAAUUAACAGAAGAAACAAAAUGGCCCAUAGAACUCAGACAUUAGCCGCUAUAAUGAUUGAAAAUGUUUCUCUCUGAUCCAAGAAGAAUACGAAUAAAAAUUCUCCACGCCAUCAAAAUGACUAAUCCAGGACGUUCUCGACCAUUACGCAUGCGAUUAACGCGCACUACUGAUAUAUUUUAAAAAGAAUUUCAAAAUAUGUAUAGUAUCUACAUUAGAGGACUACAUGGGAAUUAUUAAGUUCAAAAGAGGAGAAAAUAAAUACACAUGUUUACAGCAA